GGAUUUAGGGUUGUAUCUGGUGGGUUCCUUGAUUCGAUUUGAUAUAUACAGAGAAAAGAGUCAUUAUUAAGAGUGUUCAUUAUUGAGUGUAAACCAUGUAUGUGUGUCUGUAACAUUCCCCCCACUUGAUUGUCCACAGAUCGGGUGUGAGUCUUGCAGUGAGGGAGAACAGUGGCAGCUUCAUCAGUACUCUGAGUAUGUGGCUCUACAGUGACACUGACUACACUCAGAAACUCAUUGUUCCAGAGAAUGGAAUAAAUCUGAAGACCCGAAUCUUUGUGGGGGUGAAAGCCACCAAUCUAACAGAGAGGUUCCACGUUCUGCUUGACCGAUGCUACAAAACAACAAGUCCCGUUCCCAACAACAGCACCUACUAUGACCUCUUUGUUGGGUGUACAUACACAUGAUGGACAAACCAGGGUCGAGUUGAAUGGAGCGUCUCAGCAUGCACACCUUCCGCUUCAUUGAACACAACAACAUGACCGUCGUCACUUUCUACCUGCACUGUCACCCGACUCUGUGAGGUGUCCUCCUGUUCGUCCUUACUGCCUAAUUGUUCAGAUUUCUCCAGGAGAAAGAGAGGACAACGGUGCAGCCAUACUAUACCACUGGACCAGUGGUGUGAUAUGAUAUCAGACAUGAAUGAUAUAUCAGACAUGAAUUAAUGACACUUGAUGAGAGUGAAAUGGAUUAGUCACCUCAUCGCUCAUACAGUAUGAGUAAUUAAAUGGAUGUAAGUCACUUCAUUCUUCACCACCUUAUUCUGUUUCCCUCUGCUACAGGUCUUCCUACAGCUUCACAACUCUCCUCCCAGUCCCAGAGAAGCCCAAUGGGCCAUAUGGCCGUCACAACUUCGGUGCUGGCUGUGAUCUGUCUCUCCGUGGCCCUGUUCAUUGGUCUGUUCCUGAGGAGGGAGGGCUGGGAGCCAGACAGGAGGUUGAGGUCUUUUGAGACGGUGAAGACGGACCGUCAGCUGCUCUGCAGUGACACGCUGGCCCAGCUCUGUACCUCCCUCUGCUUCUCCAGCACCAUGGAGUUCAUGAGCAACCAGCCCUGUCUCAAUGACCACUUCUGUCAUCACCUGGGAACCCUCACAAAGCCCACUAGUGUGAGGAUGUAGAGAUUACAAUUAGCAUACAUAAUAUAUACAGUAUAUAUAUAUAUAUAUAUAUAUAUAUA